GUACCUGGUAAAGAAGUCCCGGCUAACUCCGUGCCAGCAGCCGCGGUAAUACGGAGGGGACUAGCGUUGUUCGGAAUUACUGGGCGUAAAGAGUUCGUAGGCGGACUGGCAAGUUAGAGGUGAAAUCCCAGGGCUCAACCCUGGAACUGCCUUUAAAACUGCCAAUCUAGAGACCGGAAGAGGUUAGGGGAAUACCUAGUGUAGAGGUGAAAUUCGUAGAUAUUAGGUGGAACACCAGUGGCGAAGGCGCCUAACUGGUCCGGUACUGACGCUGAGGAACGAAAGCGUGGGGAGCAAACAGGAUUAGAUACCCUGGUAGUCCACGCCGUAAACGAUGAGUGCUAGAUGUUGGGAUCUUAGGAUUUCAGUGUCGCAGCUAACGCAUUAAGCACU
rnacentral:rRNA from 1 species